rnacentral:rRNA from 1 species
GAUGAACGCUGGCGGCGUGCCUAAUACAUGCAAGUCGAGCGAACAGACGAGGAGCUUGCUCCUCUGACGUUAGCGGCGGACGGGUGAGUAACAUGUGGAUAACCUACCUAUAAGACUGGGAUAACUUCGGGAAACCGGAGCUAAUACCGGCUAAUAUCUUGAACCGCAUGGUUCAAUAGUGAAAGACGGUUUUGCUGUCACUUAUAGAUGGAUCCGCGCCGCAUUAGCUAGUUGGUAAGGUAACGGCUUACCAAGGCGACGAUGCGUAGCCGACCUGAGAGGGUGAUCGGCCACACUGGAACUGAGACACGGUCCAGACUCCUACGGGAGGCAGCAGUAGGGAAUCUUCCGCAAUGGGCGAAAGCCUGACGGAGCAACGCCGCGUGAGUGAUGAAGGUCUUCGGAUCGUAAAACUCUGUUAUUAGGGAAGAACAAAUGUGUAAGUAACUAUGCACGUCUUGACGGUACCUAAUCAGAAAGCCACGGCUAACUACGUG